rnacentral:rRNA from 1 species
ACACUGACGUCGCGACGCAUAUCAAUAAGCGGAGGAAAAGAAACUAACAAGGAUUCCCCUAGUAACGGCGAGUGAAGCGGGAAGAGCUCAAAUUUGAAAUCUUAAAGGGUUUCCCUUUACGAAUUGUAGUUUAAAGAAGUGUUUUUCUGUUGAGGUUUUGGUAAAAGUUCUUUGGAAUAGGACAUCAUAGAGGGUGAGAAUCCCGUAUUUGACCUUUACUUUCAACUUUGUGAUACACUUUCAAAGAGUCGGAUUGUUUGGGAAUGCAGUCCAAAAUGGGUGGUAAAUUUCAUCUAAAGCUAAAUAUUGGCGAGAGACCGAUAGCGAACAAGUACCGUGAGGGAAAGAUGAAAAGAACUUUGAAAAGAGAGUUAAACAGUACGUGAAAUUGUCAAAAGGGAAGCGUUUGACACCAGUGUUGUUUUUCUGAAAAUCAAUUAAAGAACUGUUUAUGCUAAGUUGUUUAGACUUUAUCAGCUAACUGUUUAGUUUUGAGCUUUUCUUUAAUGCACUUUUCAGUUAACAAGUCAACAUCCAAUUUCUUUUGCUGUAAAAAAGCUUGAGGAAGGUGGCUUGAGAUUCGUCUUAAGUGUUUUAUAGCCUUGUGCCUCUGCAGAUCGGAGAGAUUGAGGUCUGCAGCGUAGAUCCUUCGGGGUUAGAAUAGCAUUUGUGCUAAGUUAAUAGCAUUUUCAUAGACAACUUGUUGACUAUGAUUUAGUCUUGUAGCUUACUCGCUUAUGCUAUUUUACCUACGCUUAGGAUGUUGAACUCUAUCACACACAG